rnacentral:rRNA from 1 species
CGCUGGCGGCGUGCUUAACACAUGCAAGUCAUGGGGGCGGAGCAAUCCGCAACCGGCGAACGGGUGCGUAACACGUGAGCAAUCUACCGAUUUGAGGGGGAUAGCCGGCCCAACGGCCGGGUAACACCGCAUACGCUCACGGCGAGGAGUCUCGCUGUGAGGAAACCUCCGGGGCAAAUCGAGGAGCUCGCGGCCUAUCAGCUAGUUGGCGGGGUAACGGCCCACCAAGGCGACGACGGGUAGCUGGUCUGAGAGGAUGGCCAGCCACAUUGGGACUGAGAGACGGCCCAGACUCCUACGGGAGGCAGCAGUGGGGAAUCUUGCGCAAUGGCCGAAAGGCUGACGCAGCGACGCCGCGUGUGGGAGGACGCCCUUCGGGGUGUAAACCACUGUUGCCCGGGACGAAUGCCCCUUUCGAGGGGAGUGACGGUACCGGGUGAGGAAGCACCGGCUAACUCCGUGCCAGCAGCCGCGGUAAUACGGAGGGUGCGAGCGUUGUCCGGAAUCACUGGGCGUAAAGGGCGCGUAGGCGGCUUCUUAAGCGUGCGGUGAAAGCUCGGGGCUCAACUCCGAGUCGGCCGUGCGAACUGGGAAGCUGGAGCACAGUAGAGGCAGAUGGAAUUCCGGGUGUAGCGGUGGAAUGCGUAGAGAUCC